UGUGAUAAAUUAGUCGGGGUGCUUUAUAACUUAUUAUUGGGGUAAGAUAAAAAGAACACUAUGGGUGUAGAGAUUCAUAGUGAGAUAGAAAAUAAGUUAACUUUAAAAAAGCUGGGUUUAAAGGUAACCACGCUAGCUAGGUAUUAAAACCAAGACAAAGCUAAAGGUAUUUCUUAUAAAACCCAAUAAAGCGAACUACAACAAGGUUUAAUAUGUUAUAAUGAGUAGAGGAUUAUUUUAUUGAAGUCUCGUUUUAGCUCGAACUGUUUAUUAAAAACAUUUCCAUAAAAAUAUUUUUAUGGUAGGACCUGCUCAGUGUAGUAUAAAUAGCCGCAGUAUCUUGACUGUGCUAAGGUAGCAUAAUUAAUUGUCCCCUAAUUAGGGAAUUGUUUGAAUGGUUGUUUUGGGCUAUAAAACAUCAAUAGAAUUUUUUGAAAUUAGUUUGUAAGUAAAGAACCUUACAGUAUUUUAAUAGACGGAAAGACCCCGAGAGCUUAAUUAAAUUUUAUUUGGGGCAAAGUCUUUGGUUUAAAGGAAUUUUGAUCCUGUAGGGGUUUAAUGGUAAAGUUACCUCGGGGAUAACAGGGUUAGAAGUGAGGAGAGUUCAUAUCGAUUCACUUAGUUGCUACCUCGAUG
rnacentral:rRNA from 1 species